rnacentral:rRNA from 1 species
GUACACUCCUGCGGGAGGCAGCAGUGGGGAAUAUUGGACAAUGGGCGCAAGCCUGAUCCAGCCAUGCCGCGUGAGUGAUGAAGGCCCUAGGGUUGUAAAGCUCUUUCACCGGAGAAGAUAAUGACGGUAUCCGGAGAAGAAGCUCCGGCUAACUUCGUGCCAGCAGCCGCGGUAACACGAAGGGGGCUAGCGUUGUUCGGAAUUACUGGGCGUAAAGCGCACGUAGGCGGAUCGAUCAGUCAGGGGUGAAAUCCCAGGGCUCAACCCUGGAACUGCCUUUGAUACUGUCGGUCUGGAGUAUGGAAGAGGUGAGUGGAAUUCCGAGUGUAGAGGUGAAAUUCGUAGAUAUUCGGAGGAACACCAGUGGCGAAGGCGGCUCACUGGUCCAUUACUGACGCUGAGGUGCGAAAGCGUGGGGAGCAAACAGGAUUAGAAACCCGAGUAGUCCCAUG